UAAUGUAGGGCAAUCUGGCUGCAACAUCUGUCACCCCAUUGAUCACCAGGAUUGAUUUGGCUGAUCUGGCUGGCUAGGCAGGUGUCCUCUUCCUCUCUCACUGCUCCAUGUGCAUCCCUCCCAAAGGUGUGUGCUCGGUGGAAGAGGACAACCAUCCCUCAUAGAGGAGGACCGUUCUUCAGUCGAGGGUAUACAAGUAGCUGCACUCCCCUGCUAGUACCUUCAAAUAAGCUCUCAAGGCCCAUUUUUUUUUUUAACUGUGGUGCAAUUGAUAAAACAUUACAUUAGUUUCUGGUAUACAAUAUCAUCAUUGAAUAUUGGUAUAUACUG
rnacentral:snRNA from 1 species